AAAGUCGUAACAAGGUUUCCGUAGGUGAACCUGCGGAAGGAUCAUUAACGUAUCUAAGGCGUCCGAACCGCGCCCUGCUCCCGCCGAAAGGCCGUGCAGCGGGCGUCGGCCCGGCGUCUAAACCUUCACAAACCCACUGUGCACCUUCACGGCAGAGGCUUGCGGGCGAGAGCCCGUUGGCCGAAGCCGUCCCUACAAAACACUAGUAACCAAGAAUGUCAAGCGACUCUGUCGCCCAUUAAACAUAACAACUUUCAACAACGGAUCUCUUGGCUCUC
rnacentral:misc_RNA from 1 species